AGGAUAUUGGGGAGCACAGGGGCAGGUCCACCACCUGUUGUUGGCGCAGUGUCACCCCUGGGUCACCACAGCCCAUCUUCUCCUGUCCUGGGGAACAGCACUCCUAAUCCCUAUGGAUAAUCCCUUGUUGCUAGCGCUUGCCACCCUUUGGGAUGAGGGAUUGCUCUUUGUUGGUAGGAGAAGGAAGGUGAUAUCCUAGCAACCAUUUGCCAUCCCUCUGUUGCCAUGGAAGUGUCACCCCAAUAACCCAGUUGCUCCUGGUUGUUCAGGAUGCUACCCUUGGGCAGUGAUGGCUUGCCCUUUUGUUGCUAAGGAAAUGGUUCAUUAGGAAACUGGACAUACCCUUGGUUGCUAGGGAAAUGGUACCCCUAGCAACAGAGAAUGGACUGACUCUGUUCCUGGCAACCAUGGUCAGCUUCAGCCAAGGCUGGGGGAGCAGCCCCUCCUCGAUGUAAAUUAUGAAAUAUUCCUUGAUAGGGUGGGGCCAUCCCCUCGUGCAUAUGAACUGCCAUUCCGUUUCGGUGGAGAUGGCCCCCCAACAUGAACUUUUUCCCACUGCCCUCACGUGGACUGGAGAGGGUGUCCUCCAGAAAAUGUCAGGUGGAAGCCAAAGGCUUUUUUUCUUUU